AAAAUACACAGCUUGCCACCAAUGAAAAAGAACAAGGACUGCAAAAUUAUCUCAGGAAAAAAAGGAUGAAAGGAAGUGUCAGGGUGAGAGCAGCAGCAGUGUCACUUUAGGGAGCCAUCCCACUGCUUGCAAGCGUUCAGAAAUCACAGAGCACGUACCAGCACAUCUCCCAGCUCAGAAGCAGGCAGGGAAUGGCUCAAGACCGUGAUUUUGGGGCAAUUUGUGCCGAUUCCUGCUGCCCCACCAAGCAGGCAGCCCUGGGAGAUCGGCCUCAGCCAGAAGCAGGAAACAUGCAGGUUCAGUAGGCAUUUCAUGUGAGGCCAUGUCACUGGGACAAGAGUCAUCCCUGAAAGAGACCCUCUGAAGAGUGAUGUGUCCUGUCUGUCUGCAUCCAUAGGAUGCUGAAAGGACCCCUACAGCCUUCCUUCUAAUAUUUACUCCUAUUUUUUUUUCCUUUGUGACCAUGUUCAAGCGUAGUAUUUUUCUUCAGACUUUCACUGACAGAUAUUUGUGUUGCUUUAAUAGAUACAUAUAGGAAAACCACUUCUGCAGUCGCAGUAGUUCCUUUGUAGCCAUAAGGCUAAUAACUAACAUCUUUGCCACCAAGAACAGACCAUGGCAUUUACAUGGGAACUACAGCAGACCCACAGAAGGAGCAACCUCAGCUUGCAUUGCAGAGGGCUUGGGACCCUCCAAGUCGGGAUGCAGAUCCCCACCAGGGCUAAUUUGGGGAAGUGAGCCGGAGGUACCCGCAGCAGAUGACACACAGGGCUCAGCUUCUUAUUCAGCUCCAAGUCAGCAGGGGCACCCCCUGACCAUCUGUGGUCUAUAAAUUACAGUAACACCGGCACACACUGCUUGUAAAUCACCAACGAACAGGCUUUACCUUAUGACACACUACAUGAACCCUGUUGGAUAUUCCAAUAAACUCCCAUAAACCAUCUGAUAUAAACUCUGGAUUAUGUUUCUUUGGGGGUAGGAAAAAAAAACUCAAAAUUUUCUUCACUUGCGUGAACUUCUCAUGUGUGAAACGAAG
ensembl:lncRNA